ensembl:lncRNA
AUGUCACUCUCCAGCUUGUUGUGGAGGAUCAGAAUCUGGGCUUCAUCCUCGGCCAGUACCUCAUGUCCCCUUCCUGUAUCACUCAGCCAAUCAGGGCCUGGGAGGCCCAACUUGACUGAUGUUGCCCCCUGUCCCCACCCCGUGCUGACCUACCACCUCCUGAUGGCGGAGCAAACCAGGAACCACACCAUCAGCUCCUGUGGUGUUUACAGUGGAGGGACCUGGAAGAGGACACCUAGACCCAGCCCAGCCUUCCUCUGUGUUAUCACAUUUCAGCAUCUGGAGCGGAACCAGUUGCUUUCAGUUUGCAAGCUUUCUGGACAUGUGUGCCAUUGACAACUAAAGCGUGGUUCACCAAGGUGAGCUUUACCACUGUGUAGGCCAGUUACCUCUGCACAGUUAUUUUAACCUUUUCAGAUUUGGUGGCUUUGGGCUGUGGAAUUUUGAGGAGAAAGGUUUUAUGGGGAGAGGAGCUGUUUUUGAAUAUGUGAUUUACACAUCUUUUCUUUGUAGAAUUUUUACAGAAAUUGAUUUGAAACCUGAGCUACCUUGAAAUGUAAAAGUAAGAACCCUCUGUUGUUCAAAAAUUGGCCAAAGCAGAAUAGGUUUGUCCCCAGAAUCUUCUUCUGAAUUUUGUUCAGAACUCUGUUCCUUUGAAUUCAUGAAACCCGGUUUCUGUUUUCAGUUCCUAGUUCCACUUGAUUGCUGUUAUCUUGGCACUACUCUUUGUUUACCCAAGUUCUGACAUUUUUACCCCAGAAUUAAUUACCCCAGAUGGUCUGCUCUGCUGUGUUUUCCAAGCAAACAAAGUGAGCAGGAAAUAUGAACUUCCUGAGCCAGUUGGCUUCCCGCUUUAAUAUGAGGCUUUGCCUUUUACAAGCGUGUUUAUCUUAUGUCUAAUUUUCUUAUUUAUAAUUAACUAUAUAUAUAAUAUGUUUUAUAUGUAUAUACACACACACACACACAAGUAUAUAGGUUUGAUCUAAUUCUAUUUUCUCUUUUUUUCCUUUUGAAAUUGGGUCCUGAUAUUUUGCCUUUUGUUUCCCCAAGGCUCCUUUGUAGAAUCUUCCUGUUCAAUUUGAACUUCUGCAUCCUUUCUGUCGAGGAGCUCCUUGCUCAGAAUAACUUCUCCACACCUGGAACUUUGGUCUAGGAUUUCUUUUCACUUUUAGACACUUCCCUUGUCACGACUCGCAGAUGAGGUCUUAUCAGCUUUCCUCCUUGAGUUUUGCACAGCCAGGUCAUCCAGUGACCAGAUGUUUGCCUCUCUCCCCUCCCCCAUGCCCUCUCAGCACUGAAUAUACGGUUCUUUAGAGGAUGUCAUGCCCUCCCUGGGCCUUUCUCCUGGUGCAGUAACAGGAAUCCUGGAAAUGGCUGCCUUGAAUGCAGGGGCCACUAAGAUCUUGCCUCAACACUUAACCCAGAUCACCAGUAAUAACCCACCAGCCUCCCAGUCCUGAAACACUGCCUCUGCCGUGAGUGGAGAGGAGGGAGCCAGUCUUGAUGCCUGGAAGCAGCCACCCUUCCUCCUCUCCAGACACAGGUACUCCCUGUAUCAGGAAGAGAGCCUCCUGGAAACCGAUCAGUCUUGGUUUCCCUCUUUAUUCUCUCCUCACCCACCCACUUCUCUAGCCUAGCACUUUCAUUCAUUCAUUAUACACUUAUAAACACCGACUAUGUGCCCGGCAAUGUGCUAGAUUACCGUCAAGUCAGCAGUCACGGUAGAGAGUGCUAAAUGCUGAAAUAGGGGCCAAAGCCAAGGUUUGGUUGUUUCUUGUUUUUGUUUUUUUAAUAUUAUUGUUGUUCAGUUGCUAAGUUGUAUCUGACUCUUUGCAGCCCCAUGGAGUGUAGCAAGCCAGGCUUCCCUGUCCUUCACUAUUUCCCUGAGUUUGCUCAAACCCACGACCAUUGUUGGUGAUGCUGUCUAACCAUCUCAUCCUCUACUGUCCCCUUCUCCUUUUGCCUUCAAUCUUUCCCACCAUCCAGGUGUUUUCCAGUGAUUUUGUUUAUUUACUUUUGGCUGUGCUGGGUCUUCAUUGCUGCACAGGCUUUCCUCUGUUUGUAGCGAGAGAAGGCCGCUGUUUAGUUGCAGCAUGCAGGCUUCUCAAUGCUGUGUCUUCUCUUAUUGCAGAGCACGGGCAUCCUGGAUCAGGGAUCAAACCUGUUUCUCCUGUGUUGGCAGGCAGACUCUUUAGCACUGAGCCAUCAGGGAAGCCAGUUAAUUUUAUAUUUUGAUCGUACCAGGUGGCAUGCAGGAUCUUAGCUCCCUGACCAGAAAGCAGACCUGCCUCCCUGCAGUGGAAGUGUGAAGUUUUAACCAUUGGCCCACCAUCAAAGUCCCAGUAAAGACUUCAAGUCUGUAAAAGGAAGCUCAGUGAGGGAUCCACAGAAAAGUCACUUCAGCUGAAUUUUGAUGGAUUGUUUGCAGUUCAGCAGUGAACAGUCUCCAUUCUGCCUCAAUUGCAUCAGAGGACUUCUGGCAGGGAAGUAGACUUGGUCAGAUCCUCAGUAGAAGAACCUGGCAGACACCACCUUAAGGUGGUGAUCAAAUAAACAUCCCAAUGUUGUUACUGGUACUGGUGCC